GGUAAUACACCUUUUCCGGAGAUAAUACACCUCUUCAGGAGAUAAUACACUCUUUUUUUUUUCUUUUCUUUUUUUCCAGGAGAUAAUAAAAAAGGCGUUUGAGCAAGGAGAAAAGAAGUUUGUAGGCUUGAUGCUGAAACCUCACCCCGUCCUCUCAUUUUCUCGGACUAUUUUGGCAUAAUAAAUAAUCUGUCGGCGCUGUUGGAGCUAAAUCUGUCGAAAAUCAGCUUUCUGAAGGCAUCGUGUCUGACAGGAGGGGACCGCAAGUAUGUGCAUCUGUUUUCUGUGGGAUGAAGAGGAUGAAGAAUUCUCCAAAAUAGCAAGAAAAGGAAGGCAAAGAAAAGAAAGAAUGAGUAAAAGCCGGAUGGGCUUUUUAAAAAGUCAGCUGAAGAAAGGUGUAGGCCACAGAAAGGUCAUAUAG
rnacentral:lncRNA from 1 species